rnacentral:rRNA from 1 species
AAGGUAGCGAAAUUCCUUGUCAGGUAAGUUCUGACCCGCACGAAUGGCGUAAUGAUUUGGGCACUGUCUCGACAGCCCGCCCGGCGAAAUUGUAGUACUGGUGAAGAUGCCAGUUACCCGCAACUAGACGGAAAGACCCCAUGGAGCUUUACUGUAGCUUAAUACUGAAGAUCGGUAAUGCAUGUACAGGAUAGGUGGGAGCCUAGGAAACCCGGGCGUCAGCUUGGGCGGAGGCAACCUUGGAAUACCACCCUUGUAUUGCUGGUUUUCUAACCUGCGGCCAUGAAUCUGGUCGGGGGACACUGUUAGGUGGGCAGUUUGACUGGGGCGGUCGCCUCCAAAAGCGUAACGGAGGCGCUCAAAGGUUGGCUCAGCACGGACGGAAAUCGUGCAUAGAGUGCAAACGCAUAAGCCAACUUGACUGCGAGACCGACGGGUCGAGCAGGUACGAAAGUAGGAGUUAGUGAUCCGGUGGUAUGUGAGUGGAAAUGCCAUCGCUCAACGGAUAAAAGCUACCCUGGGGAUAACAGGCUGAUCUCCCCCAAGCGUCCACAGCGACGGGGAGGUUUGGCACCUCGAUGUCGGCUCGUCACAUCCUGGGGCUGUAUUCGGUCCCAAGGGUUCGGCUGUUCGCCGAUUAAAGUGGCACGCGAGCUGGGUUCAGAACGUCGUGAGACAGUUCGGUCCCUAUCUGUUGCGGGCGCAGGAGAUUUGAAGGGAGCUGUCCUUAGUACGAGAGGACCGGGAUGGACAGACCUCUGGUGCACCAGUUGUCGUGCCAACGGCACAGCUGGGUAGCUACGUCUGGACGAGAUAAACGCUGAAAGCAUCUAAGUGUGAAACUCCCCCUAAGAUAAGAUCUCCCAUCCUUUAUGGAGUAAGGGACGACAAAGACUAUGUCGUUGAUAGGUCGGAAGUGUAAGUGCAGUAAUGCAUUGAGCUGACCGAUACUAAUAACCCGAGGGCUUGACCU